GAUGAAGAACGUAGUGAAAUGCGAUAAUUAAUGUGAAUUGCAGAAUUCAGUGAAUCAUCGAGUCUUUGAACGCACAUUGCGCCCCCUGGUAUUCCGGGGGGCAUGUCUGUCCGAGCGUCAUUGCUUCCCUCAAGCACGGCUUGUGUGUUGGGCUUCCGUCCCUGGCAACGGGGACGGGCCCAAAAGGCAGUGGCGGCACCAUGUCUGGUCCUCGAGCGUAUGGGGCUUUGUCACCCGCUCCCGUAGGUCCAGCUGGCAGCUAGCCUCGCAACCAAUCUUUUUAACCAGGUUGACCUCGGAUCAGGUAGGGAUACCCGCUGAACUUAAGCAUAUCAAUAAGCGGAGGA
rnacentral:misc_RNA from 1 species